rnacentral:rRNA from 1 species
UACAGAGGGUGCGAGCGUUGUCCGGAAUCACUGGGCGUAAAGGGCGCGUAGGUGGUGGCUUAAGCGUGCGGUGAAAGCUCGGGGCUCAACUCCGAGUCGGCCGUGCGAACUGGGCUCACUGGAGCAUAGUAGAGGCAGGUGGAAUUCCGGGCGUAGCGGUGGAAUGCGUAGAGAUCCGGAAGAACACCGGUGGCGAAGGCGGCCUGCUGGGCUAUGGCUGACACUGAGGCGCGACAGCGUGGGGAGCAAACAGG